ACAUUGCUGGACCUAAUCUUGAUACUUACCUUACCAAAGUAUCCGCCCGAGAACUACGAGCACAAACGCUUAAAACUCUAAGGACUUGGCGGUGCCCCAAACCCACCUAGAGGAGCCUGUUCUAUAAUCGAUAACCCACGCUACACCCCACCACUCCUUGCCCCAACAGCCUACAUACCGCCGUCUCCAGCUCACCUCUUCUGAGAGCUUAAUAGUGAGCCCAAUAGCCCCUCCCACUAAAAAGACAGGUCAAGGUAUAGCUUAUGGAGUGGCAGAAAUGGGCUACAUUUUCUAGAAUAGAGAAUCAAUUACGAAAAGGGGUGUGAAAUAACCCCUGGAAGGCGGAUUUAGCAGUAAACUGGGACAAUAAAGCCCUAUUUAAGUUGGCCCUGAGGCACGUACACACCGCCCGUCACUCCUGG
rnacentral:rRNA from 1 species